UUUGAGACGGCAACAUGUGUAAGUUUAUUAAGAGAUUCCAUAAAUUUCCAUUAUCUGUUCAUUCCAAUUUAGAUAUAGGAAUGAAAUGCUAGAAUAGGUUCCUUCAACAAUAGGCUGUGAAUCUAGAUCUUCACACCAAAAUAAACGUACCAGCACAUAAAUUUCUUUUACGGACCAGCAGGCACAUUUCUUCUAUACCAAUAGGAAAAGUACAAUCCCUCUCACGAAGACACAUAGCGGGUUUUGCACACCGCUUCGAUUUCGUUGUUCCGUUUUUGGCAUGGUUGAAUCCGGGUUUUCUUCGUAGUGAAGUAAGGUGGAAGAAGAUUAUUUCUUGGAAUAUAAGACUUGCAGGUUCAAGAAAUGAGACAUAGGAUGAGUAAGUAAUCGACGAGGUACAGAUGCUCACAUUGGUAACCCGCCAGCUUAGGAGUCCUAGUUAGCUAUCUUGGAGUGCUCCCUUGUCCUGGAGCCUAGCUUUUUGGUACAGAUUCUCCUGUUGUAUAUAUGUGUCUAUUCAGGGGUACGGUGGGGCCCUGUCCCGUCAUAUGUUACUGUUGAUACUCUUAGAGGUCUGUAGACAUGUAUGUGGGUUGCAUUCCGAUGUGGUCAGUUGUGUAUAUGAUCAUUAUGCGUGUUCUAUCGUUGUAGCAGCCUUGCCGGCUUGCAUACAUUGUCAUAUUGUUGUAGCAGCUUUGUCGUCUUGCU